CCAAUAGCGUAUAUUAAAGUUGUUGCAGUUAAAAAGCUCGUAGUUGAAUUUCGAGAUCAAUUUGUUGGUCGUGCCUCGGUACGUACUGGCAAUUUUGGUUUCUCCCUUCUGAAGAACCAUGAUGUCAUUAAUUUGGUGUCAUGGGGAAUCAGGACUGUUACUUUGAAAAAAUUAGAGUGUUUAAAGCAGGCUCGCGCUUG
rnacentral:rRNA from 1 species